UAGGGAAUCUUCGGCAAUGGGGGUAACCCUGACCGAGCAACGCCGCGUGAGUGAAGAAGGUUUUCGGAUCGUAAAGCUCUGUUGUAAGUCAAGAACGGGUGUGAGAGUGGAAAGUUCACACUGUGACGGUAGCUUACCAGAAAGGGACGGCUAACUACGUGCCAGCAGCCGCGGUAAUACGUAGGUCCCGAGCGUUGUCCGGAUUUAUUGGGCGUAAAGCGAGCGCAGGCGGUUUGAUAAGUCUGAAGUUAAAGGCUGUGGCUCAACCAUAGUUCGCUUUGGAAACUGUCAAACUUGAGUGCAGAAGGGGAGAGUGGAAUUCCAUGUGUAGCGGUGAAAUGCGUAGAUAUAUGGAGGAACACCGGUGGCGAAAGCGGCUCUCUGGUCUGUAACUGACGCUGAGGCUCGAAAGCGUGGGGAGCGAACAGGAUUAGAUACCCUGGUAGUCCACGCCGUAAACGAUGAGUGCUAGGUGU
rnacentral:rRNA from 1 species